rnacentral:rRNA from 1 species
UGGGGAAUUUUGCGCAAUGGGCGAAAGCCUGACGCAGCAACGCCGCGUGGGUGAUGAAGGUCUUCGGAUCGUAAAACCCUGUCGUCAGGGACGAAGGUUGUGUUCCUAAUACGGAUGCAACUUGACGGUACCUGGAGAGGAAGCCCCGGCUAACUCUGUGCCAGCAGCCGCGGUAAUACAGAGGGGGCAAGCGUUAUUCGGAAUUAUUGGGCGUAAAGGGCGCGUAGGCGGUGAUUUAAGUGAGAUGUGCAAUCCCCGGGCUUAACCUGGGAACUGCAUCUCAGACUGGGUCGCUAGAGUGCUGGAGAGGGUGGUGGAAUUCCACGUGUAGCGGUGAAAUGCGUAGAGAUGUGGAGGAACACCAGUGGCGAAGGCGGCCACCUGGACAGUAACUGACGCUGAGGCGCGAAAGUGUGGGGAGCAAACA